CAAGCUCGUCUCUAGGGGUCAG
rnacentral:miRNA from 9 species